rnacentral:rRNA from 1 species
GUAGGGUCCAAGCGUUAAUCGGAAUUACUGGGCGUAAAGCGUGCGCAGGCGGUUGUGCAAGACCGAUGUGAAAUCCCCGGGCUUAACCUGGGAAUUGCAUUGGUGACUGCACGGCUAGAGUGUGUCAGAGGGGGGUAGAAUUCCACGUGUAGCAGUGAAAUGCGUAGAGAUGUGGAGGAAUACCGAUGGCGAAGGCAGCCCCCUGGGAUAACACUGACGCUCAUGCACGAAAGCGUGGGGGGAGCAAACAGGAUUAGAUACCCUGGUAGUCCACGCCCCUAAACGAUGUCAACUAGUUGUUGGGGAUUCAUCUCCUUAGUAACGUAGCUAACGCGUGAAGUUGACCGCCCUGGGAGUACGGUCGCAAGAUUA